rnacentral:rRNA from 1 species
GAUGAACGCUGGCGGCGUGCCUAAUACAUGCAAGUCGAGCGAACGGACGAGAAGCUUGCUGCUCUGAUGUUAGCGGCGGACGGGUGAGUAACACGUGGAUAACCUACCUAUAAGACUGGGAUAACUUCGGGAAACCGGAGCUAAUACCGGAUAAUAUUUUGAACCGCAUGGUUCAAAAGUGAAAGACGGUCUUGCUGUCACUUAUAGAUGGAUCCGCGCUGCAUUAGCUAGUUGGUAAGGUAACGGCUUACCAAGGCAACGAUGCAUAGCCGACCUGAGAGGGUGAUCGGCCACACUGGAACUGAGACACGGUCCAGACUCCUACGGGAGGCAGCAGUAGGGAAUCUUCCGCAAUGGGCGAAAGCCUGACGGAGCAACGCCGCGUGAGUGAUGACAGUCUUCGGAGCGUGAAACUCUGUUAUUAGGGAAGAACAUAUGUGUAAGUAACUGUGCACAUCUUGACGGUAACUAAUCAGAAAGCCACGGCUAACUACGUG